rnacentral:misc_RNA from 1 species
AUGAAGAACGCAGCGAAAUGCGAUAAGUAGUGUGAAUUGCAGAAUUCAGUGAAUCAUCGAAUCUUUGAACGCACAUUGCGGCCAUAGGUAUUCCUUUGGCCAUGCCUGUUCGAGCGUCAUUUACACCCUCAAGCCUAGCUUGGUGUUGGGCGUCUGUCCCGCCGUUCUCGCGCGCGGACUCGCCUCAAAGUCAUUGGCGGCGGUCGUGCCGGCCCCCUCGCGCAGCACAUUUGCGCUUCUCGGAGGCCCGGCGGAUCCGCGCUCCAGCAAGACCUUUCACGACUUGACCUCGGAUCAGGUAGGGAUACCCGCUGAACUUAAGCAUAUCAAUAAGCGGAGGA